GACGAACGCUGGCGACGUGCUUAACACAUGCAAGUCGAACGGAAAGGCCCUGCUUUUGUGGGGUGCUCGAGUGGCGAACGGGUGAGUAACACGUGAGUAACCUGCCCUUGACUUUGGGAUAACUUCAGGAAACUGGGGCUAAUACCGGAUAGGAGCUCCUGCUGCAUGGUGGAGGUUGGAAAGUUUCGGCGGUUGGGGAUGGACUCGCGGCUUAUCAGCUUGUUGGUGGGGUAGUGGCUUACCAAGGCUUUGACGGGUAGCCGGCCUGAGAGGGUGACCGGCCACAUUGGGACUGAGAUACGGCCCAGACUCCUACGGGAGGCAGCAGUGGGGAAUAUUGCACAAUGGGCGGAAGCCUGAUGCAGCAACGCCGCGUGCGGGAUGACGGCCUUCGGGUUGUAAACCGCUUUCGCCUGUGACGAAGCGUGAGUGACGGUAAUGGGUAAAGAAGCACCGGCUAACUACGUG
rnacentral:rRNA from 1 species